AUCUAUUUCCACCGGCCACCCACCAUGGUCUUCCCACGGGCAGCCUUUGACCUAGAUGGGAAGCAGAGCGGGCAAAAAGGCGUUAAUGAAAAUGACAAGGGGUGAGAGAGAGGUGCUACUGGAGGUCCUCAAAAGAGGACCAAGCUAUUGCUGGUUGAUGCUUGCAGGGAAGGAGAUCUUCAGUAGCACCUUCCCUAGCUUGGGGGCUGAGCCAGUCAGUGGGGUUUGGGACUCCUUGGGAACAAGCUCAUGUGUUUUACCAGGUGUUUCCAAUCAGCCCCCAUAGCCUCCCUCCCUAGGCUCCUCCCUCCCAACAAAUAAAGGACCUCCAGCUGUAGGGGUUCGGUGAUGCUUGCAGAAUCCCUCUUCUGAGGUUCAGAAGCUGCCAGCUGGGACUGGCUGCACUGUUCUGCUUAUCCAGAACAAGGAGAACAGAAACCAUUGGAGUCCAACAGAGGGAAGGAACCUGCCCGGCCUCUGCUCUCAUCCCCAGCUCUUCCUCCCAGCAACACCCUCUGCUUUUGGGACACCCCCGGUAUAUGCCCGUCCCCUUCUGCUCAUAGGAACCCCUCUCUGCAGCAGCACACGACGCUGUGGGACCAGCCUGUGGUCCAGCCCCCCCCUCCCAGGAGGACCGGCAGCUUCGGUGCAACCCCACGGGCAGGCUCGUGCCUUCUGCAUGUAGCCCCCGAAGUGCAGCAUGUUGGAGAAAGCUUUCUUCUUCCGAGCUUCCUCCUCAGCCUUCUUCCGUGCCUCCUCUUCCUCUUUGCGAGCUUUCUCCUCCUGCCGGGGAGAGAAGUGGGAUGGAACAGAUGGAUGGAAACCUCGUGGACCAAUGUGUACGCGACGCACAGCUCGUGCUCCUGCGUGCCCCACGGGUGGGUCUGUGUGGGGUGGGUGGUGGUGGGCCAUGUGCUGCAGGGAGCCCCCAGCCCUGAGGAAGACUCACGGCCAUGCGGGCCUGGCGCUCCUUCUCCCUCUCGCUGCGGAUGCGCUGCUGCUCUGCCCUCUCUGCCCUCCGCUGCUCCUGCAGAGGGAGAGGACCAUGGCCGGGAUGUCCCAGGACAUUCCCUUCAUCUCUUGGGACCCCAAGUACCCUCAGAGCCCCAGGGGCAGCUCUGCUGCUCCCCCAUCUCCAUAUGGGAUGGGUAUUACAGCAGCUUCUCAGCCCCUGGGCACCAAAUUUGGCUCAAAUCCCAACCCCUCUCUGACAGAGGGACAAGGGACGUCUCAGGUCUUGCUGAGUGUCGGGGCUGUUCGCCCACAGAGGGGACAGGCUGCCCACGUACGAUCCUGUCCUUGAGGGAGAUGAGCUCCUCUUCCUCCUUCUUCCUGCUCUCGAAGUGGGCUUCGAUGAGGGCCUGCAGCUCGUUCAGGUCCUUCUCCAUGCGCUUGCGGUGGAUGUCCUGCAGUGGACAGAAAUGAAGGCGACGGCCGCGCUCACAGCGGUGAAGCCCCCCAGGAGCUGCUGGACACGGCAACGCCAUGAUGCUGCUGUUAGAGGCACUCACAUCGAAAUCCAGGCGCUCGCCAUCGGGGAUUUUGGGAGGCACCAGGUUGGGCAUGAAGGGCCUGAAAGCCACAGUCCCUGCCCCAUUUUCAUGCUUUUAGGGCUUCACUGUCCCAUGUCCCUUACGGAUCUCACCGUGACCAUCUCACUAAACCAUGGUCCCCAGGAACAGGAGAGAGAGACAUUGUUAGCAGCACACGUUGACCCCAAGCCCCACAAAAUCCAACAACCCCUUCCUCCCAGCGGCACAGGCACAUCAUCCUCCACCAAAGCAACGCAGUGAGGUGCCCAUCUGUGUGCCAAAAUCUGAGACGUGCAUUGAUGCUCCAGGCAUUCAGGCAGCUGAAUUCAACAUUGGAAACCCCGUGGCAAGGAGACAGUGUCGUGGGAGAUUGAAAUGGCCAAAGAAUGUCCUUUCUUCACCUUACCUUCUCCUGGAGCUUUUGUUUCAUCUUCUUGUUCUGUCUCAAAAGUAAGGGGGAAAGCGUGACCAGAGCACCCGUGGGUGAGGACAAUGACAUGUCCUUUACACUCUGCCUUGUGGCCACCAGGUGUGACAGCAUGGGGACACAGACCACGCACCUUCCGCCGUGGCUUCCUCAGUCUCCUCUUCCUCCUCGUCUACCUGGUCCUCCUGACCUGUGCAACAAGGACAGGGUCAGUGGCACAGCCGCAGCUCCUGCUGGCUCCCUCCAGACCCCCAGAAUGGGACAAGUGUGGCACUGAGUCCAAGAGACCCAAAGGAGAGGGAGCUAUAGGAGAAAGAAGCAGAAAGCAAAGGGCUUUGCUCUAGCCCUUACCCAAAGGCUGCUCUCUGUUCAUGGGCAUGGAUGAAGGGGAAUACAAUCAAAGGAAUAUAGCCCCCUCCUGGCUUUGUCCUUCAUUCCCUCCCCAGCUGAGACCUUGGACCCCAGAGCGGAGGAGAUCAACUUCUGUUGCUCUCCCCCACCCAGCAAAGAAUGAGAUUGCACGGCAUAAAUCUCAUGCAUGGCACUGUUGGAGGAUUUUUCCACUGGAGGGAGCAGUACCCCCAUGAGAGUCCACUGUCAGAGCCCACAGGUCCUGCAGAGAUGUGCGGUCCCACAGCAAGAGAGGAAGAAAGGAAAAGAAGACAGCGACCCACGGGUAUGUUUGGGUGGAAGACAGAAAGCACAGCAGUGAGAGCAGGUGGGCAGAGCACAGAAGGAUGGGGAGAGUGCAACAAGCAGCAGAGAAGUGAGAGAAUGAAAGAAAACCGUUUCCCAACCAGGGAAAGGCACAAGACACACCGACCCGCGAUAUAUUCACAGCAGCAGUGGAGAGAUGAAACAAAGAAAGGUGCAGUAACUACCGUCUUCUUCCUCAAGCCAUUCUUCCUCUUCUGAGCCGGGGGAAGGGAACAAGCGCAGAGGUUAGUCAGGUGCCCUAAAGCCGUGGGGCAGAGCUACGGCGUGCACAAGAUGAGGACUCCAGCCCUCCGACCCUUUGCUUUUAGCACUCAGGUUGCUUUGCUGUGCGGCAGCUCUGAAGCAGCAGGAGCCCCAGCAAACCCCAGCUCCCACCCGGUACAGACAGCCCCACUGCUGCAGCGUGGGGUUUGGUCCUGCACCGUGCUGAUGUAGUUGGGGGUUCUGCUUGAGCACCGUUAAUGUGCAUUUGGCUGAAGCUCCAGCUCAUGUUGAGUUAUUGAGCUCGCACUGCUCCACAUGCACACAUCCAGCAUUGCCACCUCCCUCUUUGGGUCAAGGGAUCUCCGUGGGAAAAGAGAUCCUGAGGAAAUUCAGGGUGGUUUUCAUCCUACCUAUGUUUGAGGUGGAGGAAUUCAGACUGUGAUCCCAUCGGCCUUUUCUGGACAGUCCACCCACAGCAAGGAUCUGACCACCACCGCCACCCCUCAAGCAAAACCCUGAACCAACAGCUCUUGCCCUUCCAGCAGCAGGAGGAACACCUACCUUCUUCCACGUACUCCUCUUCAUAUGAGUGCACAGGGGAGAAAGGGAAGAGAAAGAAGACGUGGGUUAUUGCAGUGACCCCCAUUGUUGCUUAGCAUCGUUCUCAAGGCGGCUGUGGAUGCUCCACGUCCCCUUACCUUCCUGCUCCCUGCAAAGCAUGACACAAAGAAGCCGAGUUGCAGCAAUCUGCUGCAGUGGGGCACGUACAUCCAGCAGUGGGGCCGAAGGGGAGCUGCCAUUUCCCCAGGGCUGGGGACCCCUUUCCAUCGAUCCCUUCAUCACCCAGCUCAGAUAUCCAUCCCCUUCUCUGCAGGAGCACUUCAUGGUCCUAUGGCCCUCACCAGCACGAAGUGCCCUCAGAGCUGGGAUGCUCAGAACGUGGCAAUAGGAUCCCAUCAACCACAGACUGAUAGUUGGACUUCUCUCAGCUCUGCCCCAUUGCUUUAGAGCACACCAUGUUUAGGGCAGGGUCCGUUCCUUUGCAGUGCACUGGCUCAUUGGCUCCUGAUGCCCAGCUCCCCACUGCGGGGGUCUCGGCACAGACACAGCAGUGAUGCCUGUGGGCAUGGGGGGGGGGGAUGCUGAAGUGCUCUCACAUUAGGUGCUGGAAAGCAGGAAUAAGGAGAAAGAAAGAGCGUUGGAAACCAUGCCACUUACUGCUCAUACUCUUCAACGACCUCUUCAGAGUCUGACAUGCUUGGUUAUCUACCAGAAUGCAAGGCAAGAUGGAAAAAGCAAGGGUUAGAAGCUGAGAUAAGGACAAGCACAGCCCGUCCUGCUGCUUCUCCCCAGAGCACUUGGAGCUGCGAGCUGUCCCCAGCCGGGCUGCGGCAGUGAUAUCUCAGGAGAGAUAAGGUUCCUCCAUCCCCUUCCAUUCCAGGAUCGCACCUCACCAUGGACAAGAGGCAAGAGGUCUGGCACAGCCCCAUGCCACGCUGAUAGCCGCUGCCAGGAGUUGUGUCCAGGACACGCAGCUCCCUGUGCUGGAGCCAUCCCAGGGCGCUGCCUUUGCUCAGGGCAUGGGAAAAUCACCCAAUGAUAAUGCCCAGCUUGGUUUGCUUCCUGACUAUUCUUAGCUCAGCUGUGAUAUGAUGACCUGCAGGGAUGUUCUGUUAUCUCCACUCUACAGCCCUGCACAAGAUCUUGGUGAGACAGCCCGGCCCUCCGAGAGCAGGGGGGACAAGGUGAGCUCAGCAGGGGCACUGCACUCCUGCUCCUGGCCCUGAGGCUGAGUUCAGCCAAAGGGGACAAUAAAUCACAGCCGAGUGUAGCAGUAGGGCUGAGCAUAGCUGAAAAGGUGGAAAUGUCCGUGUUGCAUCUUCCUAGCAACACCCAUCUCCCUCCCAGUUGUGCUUGGGUGAUACCGCCCAGCCGCACAGCGCGGGGCAGCCCUAGAAAUAACCUCCCUGUGCCCAACCACCUGUUCCCAGAGCAGCUCCCUGCUCUCACUGGGCGUUGUAGGAACAACUGCUCCUGACUGCAUCUGUCGGGUAUUUAUUACCCGUGAUGGGUAGGAGCGGCGUGGGGAUCGCUUAGUAAGGAUGCUGAGUGCAGGACUGGGACCUGCAGACGUGGGGAAGACGUGCAGCAGUGGGGAUGCCUCAGCGUGCUGUGCAGCUGUCAGAUCUCCCUGCUGAGCCGUGACUCAGGGGGGGCUUUUUGGAGACCAGUGAAGUCAGAACCCAGCCUUGGGUUCACUGCCCAGCUGCUGCCAGGGCCCCUUUCUUUCUGGCUCAGCCCCUCGACCUCCUUGGCUGCCAUUUGGGGCACGGCAUGGCCCUGCUGCCCCCAGAGUUUGGCCAAACCCUUUGCGUGGCUGCUGGCACCCAGGGCUCCCAGGAGCAGAGAUCCCUUCCUGGCUGGGACACGUUCCCAUUCACCUCCUGCAUCACCACAUUCCACCACACAUUUGCUGAGAAACAGCAGCAAAACCAGAACUGUUGAGGGGGCACAACAGAAAAGCCAAUGUUACCCUGGAAUGUGCCUGUAAGAACUAUCUCUCCAUCCUCUGCACAGAAACUGACACGGAGAUGGGAUAAAUAUUCCAGUUCAAGCUUUGACCACCCGUUCUGAAACAACCAGGAGCACCCCAGCUCUAACACACGCUGCAGGCUUUGCUGGUGCUCCUGCGGGCAUCGCAUCCCCCCCCCAGCAUCACCAGGGUUCCAGGGGCACCCCGAAUCCUUCCCAGCUCCUAACAACACCGGCUGUGAUGCCGACAAACCCACUGGAGAAGGCUCCGGUGCUUUACCCGGGGGAAUGCCUCCACGCCAGGAAGACAUCCCAAUGAGAGCAGCUGGACCACACUGACCCCGAGCCAAACCCCUGCUAGAUCGUCACCUCCUGGAGCUGAGCAUCCCCAGCCUUACCUGUGCUGAGGUCCCACGGAGCAGUGGGGAGCCGGCGGCCGUCUGGGAAGGGCUCCUUGGGGGGCAGAGGCUUUAAGGGCCCCCCAGCACCCACCCCGGGGCGGGCAGAGUCAGGAGGAAUGUGCCCGGCGCCCAGAGAGGAAUGCAACACUUGUGAGCUGCUAUUUCGGCAGCAGCGGCCCCGGCCCCCUCCGUGCUCCCCCUUCCCCCCCAGGAGCCCAUAUAAGCCCAAGCUAUUGUGUGGCCUCAGAGAUUUGCUAUUUUAAACCCGUCGGAUGGAGAUACGUGAGUGCCCGAGGGGCUGACACAAGCCAGCCAGCUGUCACCUCCCAGGGCUGGGGACGCUGAUAAGGCAGCGCUUC